rnacentral:rRNA from 1 species
AUAUUGCACAAUGGGCGAAAGCCUGAUGCAGCGACGCCGCGUGAGGGAUGACGGCCUUCGGGUUGUAAACCUCUUUCGACAGGGACGAAGCGCAAGUGACGGUACCUGUAGAAGAAGCACCGGCCAACUACGUGCCAGCAGCCGCGGUAAUACGUAGGGUGCGAGCGUUGUCCGGAAUUACUGGGCGUAAAGAGCUUGUAGGCGGCUUGUCGCGUCGAUCGUGAAAACUUGGGGCUCAACCCCAAGCUUGCGGUCGAUACGGGCAGGCUUGAGUACUUCAGGGGAGACUGGAAUUCCUGGUGUAGCGGUGAAAUGCGCAGAUAUCAGGAGGAACACCGGUGGCGAAGGCGGGUCUCUGGGAAGUAACUGACGCUGAGAAGCGAAAGCGUGGGUAGCGAACAGGAUUAGAUACCCUGGUAGUCCACGCCGUAAACGGUGGGUACUAGGUGUGGGUUUCCUUCCACGGGAUCCGUGCCGUAGCUAACGCAUUAAGUACCCCGCCUGGGGAGUACGGCCGCAAGGCUAAAACUCAAAGGAAUUGACGGGGGCCCGCACAAGCGGCGGAGCAUGUGGAUUAAUUCGAUGCAACGCGAAGAACCUUACCUGGGUUUGACAUACACCGGAAACCUGCAGAGAUGUAGGCCCCCUUGUGGUCGGUGUACAGGUGGUGCAUGGCUGUCGUCAGCUCGUGUCGUGAGAUGUUGGGUUAAGUCCCGCAACGAGCGCAACCCUUAUCUUAUGUUGCCAGCGCGUAAUGGCGGGGACUCGUGAGAGACUGCCGGGGUCAACUCGGAGGAAGGUGGGGACGACGUCAAGUCAUCAUGCCCCUUAUGUCCAGGGCUUCACACAUGCUACAAUGGCCGGUACAGAGGGCUGCGAUACCGUGAGGUGGAGCGAAUCCCUUAAAGCCGGUCUCAGUUCGGAUCGGGGUCUGCAACUCGACCCCGUGAAGUUGGAGUCGCUAGUAAUCGCAGAUCAGCAACGCUGCGGUGAAUACGUUCCCGGGCCUUGUACACACCGCCCGUCACGUCAUGAAAGUCGGUAACACCCGAAGCCGGUGGC